CCGUGCAAAGGUAGCACAAUCACUUGUUCUUUAAAUUAGGACCAGUAUGAAUGGCCACACGAGGGCUAUACUGUCUCCCCCCCUUAAUCAGUGAAACUGAUCUCCCCGUGAAGAAGCGGGGAUACAACUAUAAGACGAGAAGACCCCAUGGAGCUUAAAACUUGUACCACUGCCUCACUCAUACCAAUACACCAAGGCAAGCAAUGACUACUAGUCUUUCGGCUGGGGCGGCCACGGAGAAAAACUAAACCUCCGCGAUGAAGGGGACACCCCUAAUCAAAGAGCAACCGCUCUAAUAAUCAACAAAUUGACAUUAUUGACCCAACACCUUGAUCAACGAACCAAGUUACCCUGGGGAUAACAGCGCAAUCCAUUUCAAGAGACCCCAUCGACAAAUGGGCUUACGACCUCGAUGUUGGAUCAGGGUAUCCUAGUGGUGCAGCCGCUACUAACGGUUCGUUUGUUCAACGAUUAAAACCCU
rnacentral:rRNA from 1 species